ensembl:misc_RNA 7SK 7SK RNA
GGAUGUGAGGGAGAUCUGGCUGCGACAUCUGUCACCCCACUGAUCACCAGGGUUGAUUCAGCUGAUCUGGCUGGCUAGUCGGGGGUCCCCUUCCUCCCUCAACGCUCCAUGUGUGUCCCUCCCAAAGCUGCACGCUUGGUCGGUCAAAGAGGACGGUCUUCCCUGAAUAGAGACGGACCGGUCUCGAGGGUUUUACGAGUUUCUGCGGUCCCAUUAGAACCUCCAAACAAGCUCUCAAGGACCAUGCUACCAAGAAACAAUCAAAGUGACCAGGGCUCUGUCCCACACAACCACUGCCCCCCCCCAACUUUUAAAAAAUAUUUAUUUCCUUUUGUU